CCGACCCCCGCAGUCCCAGAGGCUGGGGGCGAGGUGAGGCCUGCAGCCCUCCUCAAGUACACUGUGUGUGCUUUGCUGGACCGGUGCCCACAGACAGCCAAGGGGCUGCCUUUCUGUGGCUCGUCACUAGCUUCCCAACCCCCGGUGCAGGUAAUGCAACAGAUUUUUGUCUCAUAAGUCUUUUUUCUUUCCCUGCCACGCCCUUUAUUUAUCAAGCAUAAUAUGACACAUUAAAGAACAGCAGAUAAGAACUAUAGGAUCCCAUCAGGACUUUGCUAACAAUGAUGUUUGGAAACGAAAAAAGAAAUGCCCUGGAAAAUAAUCAGCCACCAAAAUAGUUUCGUCAGCACUGUGUUCACACGCAUGGUCCCCACGCCCCCAGGAUGGGUUUUUGUUUUUUGUUUUUUGGAGCUUUUUCAUGUUACAUCCAUAUCUGUAUUUAUAUCUUAUUUGUUUCACUUUCAAGUGUAUCAUGGCAAAUGUACAGAUUUUUUUGUUAAUAAUGUGCUAGGAUUUGCUAAAAAA